rnacentral:rRNA from 1 species
GCUCACGGCCAUACCAGCCUGGGUACGCCCGAUCUCGUCUGAUCUCGGAAGCUAAGCAGGGUCGGGCCUGGUUAGUACCUGGAUGGGAGACCGCCUGGGAAUACCAGGUGCUGUAAGCA